AGCGUCAAUUAACUGACUGGCGAGGAACGCAUGUUUGCGCCGUUGGCCUUCCGUGUGCGUUGUGUUUGUUGUUAGCGAAUGCUUCUGAACUAAGUUUUAUGACAAGUGCGACGUCACUUUGCCGGCGUUGUCCACCACAAUGAGCUGCUGCGCCUUCGGAUGUCGAAGUAGGUUCGGCAUUGGCAAAAAGCUCUUCACGAUACCGUCCGGUAAGAGGGACGAGUUAAGAAGAAAAGAGUGGGUUCGUCGAAUUGGGAGGGAGAACUUCAGGCCGACAGCUUCCACACGACUGUGCGAGGACCACUUUACGGAUGACCAGUUUGAGCCCCUUGUGCUGGAGCGGUAUGGGGUCAAGAAGCUGCGCCGUGAUGCUGUCCCUACUAUCUUCUGCUACGACAAGAGUGCCAAAACCAGCUCUGUUAAGGUUCUUGCCAAAAAACGCAUACGGACGACCAAGAACAGCUGUUUCUACAGACCCAGGUUGAAGAAGAAAGCACCGCUAGAGACCCUGCAGGAAAGCCAGAGCCAGCCAGGCGAAAGCGUGGUUCACAUCAAUGUGGAUGAUGGGGUGCUACAGCUACAAGAAGCACUGCCAAUGUCUGUUGAAUCCUCGAGCAAAGACUGGCUCUCCAGCUCUUCGAACCAAAGUUUGGCGCCUACUGGAUGCCAGCAAGCUGCCAGACCAGACAAAACGCAACUAGUGCAAGGAAAAAAUGUUGCUGCUGUUAGUCUCCCAAACGAGGACUGUGCCGGAGUUGAAAUGGGAGACCGACAGGGGGUAGCGGGAAAGACGGGAGCAUGCUCGUCCAGUCUCGUUCACGUAACGACAGUGUGCAGCAGUACAGCAAAUGGUAGGCAAACAGCGGGUGCAGUUGAAUCGUACAGCUUCCCUGCUUGGCCAAGCGAGAAUACAGAGCGUGCAACUGCUGUAGGUGGACACGACCACGAGGCGAAACCAGUGACACCUGGAGGGGGGGCACCCGAGGUAUUUGUCACUUGCCUGAUCCCUGCUGGCAUUGAAAAUGGAACCCAUCAGAAAGGGAGAGACGAAUGUGCCAGCAGUUUCGCCCUGUGCCAGAGCUCAGCCUGCUCAGAUGUCCAAUCCGAGCCCCAGCAUGACACUGGUCAAGAAGACGCACCAGCGCGUCUUCCACUGCCCUCGGGCAACGACACUGUGCAAGGACGGGAAUCGGCAGCGGAGUACCGCAGUAAAGGCCACAGUGGUGGCAGCAAGCACCAUUGUUGCUGGUCUGAGACCCAUCCGCCCGAAACAAGCUUUAGCCGGCGAUAUUCAGAAGGCCUCGGGAUCCACUGGUGCGGGGACUGUAAACUGGCUAGGGAGCAGGACAGUGCAGACACAAGUGGCGGUAGAAGCCAGUGCUGAUAGUAGUACAGUGCAACGAUUGGUCCGAGCAGGUCUCGGUGGUGGACAGCAGUGCGAGGCCGCUCAAGCAAAAAAUCUGCGGAUGCCGAGAGAUUGUGUUGAUGGGCACCAAACCAGCAUGCAAAACCUGGCAGAUGAUACAGGACAUAAUGAAACAGAUGGGCAUCAUCAGUCGCUGUUCAGUGGCAGUGUGGGAGAUGUGAAUGUGUGCCAAAGUGAAACGGGAGCCGCUGGACCUAGCAGCCUUCCCAGUUCCAUCAAAAUAAGUUCGGUCUACACUCUUGUGGGUGAUGGGCACCAGCAUGCAGUGAGUACUGAAGAAAGAGGGAAGGAAUUGAUGAUCAACGGUCCUACCGUUAACCUUCAAGGAGGAGUUGCCACAGACUCAGCUCGGCUUACAGUCAGAUCACAAGAAGCAGGAGAAGAACCAAUCCAUGCAACUGAUUUUCAAAGGUCGGACAACCCCUUGUCUUCACUGGAGCAUGUGGUUGACGUUAAUGCGGCUGCGUUGGCCCGUAUGCUGGACCGGCGGCCUCUGACCAGCGAGGAAGACCUGUGGG
rnacentral:misc_RNA from 1 species